GGGCCCGCACAAGCGGUGGAGUAUGUGGUUUAAUUCGAUGCAACGCGAAGAACCUUACCAGGGUUUGACAUCCUGCGAAUCUCUUGGAAACGAGAGAGUGCCUUCGGGAGCGCAGUGACAGGUGGUGCAUGGCUGUCGUCAGCUCGUGUCGUGAGAUGUUGGGUUAAGUCCCGCAACGAGCGCAACCCACGUCUUUAGUUGCCAGCAUUUAGUUGGGCACUCUAGAGAGACCGCCGGUGAUAAACCGGAGGAAGGUGUGGAUGACGUCAAGUCAUCAUGCCCCUUACAUCCUGGGCUACACACGUGCUACAAUGGUACUUACAACAGGAAGCAAGACGGCGACGUUAAG
rnacentral:rRNA from 1 species